GGUCGAAAAUUUUCUUCUGAGAAAACCCCUCAGAGAAUCAGUUCCCGGUACUGAUGUGGUUUUGAAUCAGCUGAGAUGUGGAAAAAAUAAACAAACAAUAAUGAUCUGUGUUUAGUAAAGAGGAAGUGUUGGUACCGGAGUCAAGGUACGACGAUAAAUUCACAAGGAAACAGUUUGUGCUUCCCUGAGGUGCAUUUCGAGGAAUUGAUGCCUCAUCUUCAUUCAAGCUUUCACACAAACUAUUCAUAGAAAAGCUGUUUACGGCUUAAGUUGUGGUCCCAGAGCUGUUCUAUUAGAUACAGAAAAUGACUAAAUAAGGGAGCAGUUCUCACAGUCAUCCAUUCAGUAUCGCUCUUAGAUUCUGAGAUACUUUAUUUAAUGGCAGCUUAUGUUGUUUGCAUAUUAGACACUCUCUAAUCAAGAUUAGAGAUGUGACGUUUGUGAACGAGUCAGUCAUUUGAACGACUCUUUAAGUGAACGAUAAGAACCGGUUCACAGUGGCGAGCCGUUCCUUUCUCAAGCUGCCUUUAUGUGUCAUCUCUAUGCCCCAAACACUAGGAAGGGUAGUACAAUCUUGUAUUCACAUUUUUUUAUCGUCUUAAUUUUUAUCAGUUAUCUGUAGCCUAUGCAGUUUUUAUACAAAUAGUUUAUACAAAUAGUUAUCUCCCCGUCAAAGGAUAUGGUACUACCUUAAGGAAUGUUUACGAUGAAAACACAAGCUAAAUAAAAUUCCAAUUAAUAUUUCUGAAUAACUCCCACCCAUGUGUAGCCCUAGUUGACUUCUAAAAAAAUAAAUAAAUCAAACAAUGAGCCGGUCUGAAUGUCUCCUAAAGAUCCAGCUCCCUUUGAAGAGCCAUAAAUCUCUAACUGAGACAACAAGCUUUGACCCUGAAAUGCUGUCCUGUUCUUGCCUGGUAUGAGAUUUUAGCUGCUCCGUAGUUUGGGGUCUCCAUUUGUGUAUUUUUUAAUUCAUAAUGCAUCAAAUGUGCAUUAAAAAGAUCACAAACUGGGAUUGUAGUUAGACCAGAACAACAACUCUGCUACAAAGAUAAACCGUUGUGCAUGUUGCCUCCACAAAGUGUAGGAAACAAUAUUGAUGAUUUCCAAACUUAAUGUCAACUUUUGUCUCCUGGGAUAGUUUUCUGCUCUUCCUCAAUCAUCUUUGUUUUCUUUGCAGCUCUCUAACUUCAUAACUGGUGUUUUAUAGAGUUGCACAUCAACCAAUCCUUUUCAUUUGUUUAAAUUCGUAAUACGCUUUUAUGUCUGCGUGGAUCAAAAUGCGUAAUUGUGCAUCAGCGCUGAACAGAAGGGCACUUCUGAUCGUCUACUCAUAGUCUGCUUUGACAUGUUGGGUCGUGGGUUCUAUCUCACCGCACAGUAUGAGAUUCUGCCCCCUCUAACCCAGAACAUCUUUGAUCCAAUUAGCUGGAGUUCUGCACGUUCGGGGGGGGAGGCUAUUUUUUAACAUCACAUGGCAGGCCCGUGGGUUAACUCGUGUGAUUCACUGGUACAUGAGAACAGAUGGAGGGAAGCUUUGACACAUGUGUUCCCGCUGAACAUGCCACCCAUCCCGGGGAUUAUUUUAUCUGAGCUGAUUGAAAACAUGGCAGAAUCUGCAAUAAUUAGCAUUUAGCAUCUCCCACUUCCCCCCUUCUCCUUGCUCUCUGGAGUCAUCCUCGCCCCGAUUCGCUGGAGAAGGUCGUGAACGAUGUUUUUCCCAUCUGUUCUGUGCUGCACUGUUUGUACUCCACGUGUGACCAAAGGUUAGCUACUACUAGAGCUGUAAACUUACUAGAGAUAAAAUACACAAGCUUGUAUUUACCCACUUUGACCUAUUAAGGACCCGGAAACUGACAAAUAAUACCCCAGACUUUGAUUUGAGAAAAAACUCUGUGUACUCAUUAUUCUCCUCUUAAAUUGGGACUCCCUGUAAUCCCCUUACGUGACCUCAGACAGUCCCAGGAUUCCUCUUUGAGAACAACUUCAAAAAACCCUUAAAAUAGUCAAAGUAAUUACAUGCUGUGUUCGGUCAUGCUCACCUCUGAGGACUAUUAAAAAUACCUGAGAGCUACAAGUACCAAAUACUGAGUCACAACCACUUACGCUGAAGUUUUGGCUCUGUUUUUUCUUAUUUCUUAACUCAUUCGUGUACAACAAACUCACCAUCCAGAAACAAAACUUAUUUCGGCUGAAUUUGACACAAGCAUAAAUAAGUAUUUUAAGAAGGCUGUGAUUGGAUUACAGGUGUCACUUGAUGGAUUUAUGUAUCUGCCUGUGUCUGAAGUGCCAUGUAGUCAUUGCAGAGACUUUACAGAAGAAGGAGUAUUGCCUUAUAUAAGCCAAAAUAUUGAAUCUCUAAGUUUAAAGUCAAAUUAAUUCUUUAUGUAGUUGUUAAAGUUGCUGACACACACCAUGGUGAUUAAAACAAGAAGUUAAGAAACUCAGAUGACCUCCGUUUUGUUGUUCGAAGCACUCCCUCUGAGUGUAAUGUUCCUAUAGAUGGGUACACGUUGGUGUUUAAAGCUCAGUGCAACUUAUGCAGAUUAAACUGGCCCCGUGAGUCUAUAUGAGACUCUGAGCGCUGUGAUAAAACUGUAAACGAAGGAGGUUUAGGAAGGUGUGGGAGGAGGUCAGCUCUGUUCUUCAUUGUUUUACGCAGUGUUCGCUGAGUCAUUUAUAGCUAAAGGCAAUGUAAAUGAAUAAAAGGUAAAUCAUCCCCGCCUAUAUGUUGAUUUAAAUAUGUCAUAGAUGAUCUCACUGCUGUGUCACAUGAACGUCUUUAAAGGGAUAGUUCAUGUAUUUUCUAAUGAAGUGGGGUUGUUUGUUAAAAGUAAGUGUAUAUGUAAGAUGAGACAAAGGAUCCCAUCAGCUCGAGCCGUAAGCUGUUGGAGAACGGAUGCUAUGGAAUCAACGGGUUCAUACAGGACCACGUUUACCACCUUAUUCAGGACAUUUUCACAAACCUUACCCAAAACACCAUCACCAGUGUAAUGAAUGAAGAAGCGUAUUGCGUUCACUUACAAAGAGGAUUUUUUUUUAUUUUUUUUAUUUUUUUUAUUUGCUGUUUUUCGGACAAUUUUUUAUUCUGUUUUUUUGUCUUUCUGUUUUUCGGACUAUUUUUUCCUUAACUAAGCGAGAUACUUCCAAGUCCUGUGAUAAUCUCAUACAAUCAGAUAACGUUAACCUCCAGCUCCAAGAUAACUUCGACUACGGGGUCAAUGUGAGUAAAGCAUGUUAUUAGUUUAAUAUAGGGUAUGCAAAUCCUGAGGUGCCUGCGCGAAGUAGACAAACUUAGGUCGACUCCAUCUAUUUGACUUAAAGGGAGGAGUAACUCCCAGUGUCUCUAACCCAAAAGAAAAUAAAACUUGAACUUGGGCCAUGUUUACUUUCAAUAAAUUGAGCAGAGGGGGGCGUAAGCAUCUGUCUCUAAAACGAUCAUAAUACCAGAGAAUAGGAAAAACAAUUAGUUGAAAAAUCAGAAAAACAGAAAAAAUUAUUUUGAAAAACAGAAAAGAAAAAAAGUCAGAAUAACAGAACAGAAAAAAAUACUCUGAAAAACAGAGCUUUUACAAAUGCAAUACGCCUCCGUAAAUAAACACUUAAAUUUUUAUUUCUAUUUAUCGCUACUCUUUGGUGCACCACCUAUUUCACUGUCUGCAGUGCGCUGACUGGCGGUUUGGCUCUUUGGAUAUUCAAGAAAGGCAAAAGUAAAACUAAAAAACCAUGACAACACCACACACCGAGGUAGAGUCGCCCUCAUUAAAACUAUCAGUCUGUGUUUUCGUGACAUUAGAGGCUCUGUGCUGUCUGGUCUGAUGGAUUUAGGUCAAAAAUACUCUUCUACAAAGCCAUUUGGGUAAAUAUAUCUCUCUCUCUCUUGUCUUGCUUUUAUCAACAGGAAGGUUUUAAACUGCAUUUUUAUAACAAUUUAAAGGCAAUGAGCUCAUGCAAUCAAACAGUUUAAUUGUCCCCAAUGAGAUACGCAAUUAAAUCAUGAGCAAUUAAAUGCAGAUGUUAACCUGGUGGUGCUACAAUGAUUAUAAAAUGUGAACUAAUUAUCAGUCUAAGUCAAUAUUUAUGGCCUGUGAGUCACACAACACAAGGAACCGAACUACUCCAAAUAAUGAGAGUUUAUGUAAAGGCCAAACCGCUGCUAUAAAAAAACAAUACAAGCGAAAGGGGGCAAAGAUUAACAGAGGUGGUAAUUUAAUCUGCUUCCCUGAGAUAAUGAUGUAGAUAGACACAACAGAGAUGACUAAGAGGGAGUAUAUUUAGACCUGGUGGCUAAAAAAAAGCUAUUCGAGAAAAAUGAAGAAUGACUUUUUCACCUGAGGACAUGCAGGUGUGCCUGCAGUAUUAUUACAUCCCUGAACCAAUCUGCAGUUCCUCCUUGUGUAACCAUAAUAGCGCGCUCUAUUGUGUAAGACAUAAUAAUAAUAAAAGUGAAGGUCAUAAACACUGAAGGGGAAAAACACAGAGGCAAGGAUGCAGGGGGUUUGACUCCAAAAUUAGCAUCCAAUAAAAAAACCAGACAGGAUGCUGUAAGGGUAGAAAUCAUCCCAAACAGGCUUUUUAGGACGUGACAGAAUAAAGGACUUUUCUCACAAAGGCACCUCAUAUAUUUAAGCCUACAACAAACAAGAAGCAACACAAGUGCUGCGUUUUCAUGAAUUGAAUUUGAAAAUGUAUGAAAAGUGCGUGUUUAAUUGUAACUGGAAGAAGCAAAGUUACUCUCAAGUACUAACAGGUGAUAUUUCCGAGUGUGCACCGCCUAACAGUGCCAGGAGACUACAUGUCUGAAACUGUGACAGAACAACUGUUUGGUAGAGUAAUGACGUGUCUCAAUGUUUGCUACCUGGAGAGGAUUUCCGAUUCGUCAUCCAAAGAGAUUGAGACAAUAUCUGACCCGGAAAACCUCCGGAGCAGCUCUCCAGCUGCAGCAUCAUCAAGGCCACACAUCCCCGCAGCGUGGGCGAACAUUUCUCAUCACUCUCCUUUUGUGGCCUGCUUUCCCGUGACUGAAAGGGUCUCUGAAUCACACAUUGAUUGAGUUUUUGUUCGCUGUAAUGUUUGCCACUGCCGGAUGACUUUAGUCGGUCG